rnacentral:rRNA from 1 species
GUGCCAGCCGCCGCGGUAAUACGGAGGGUGCAAGCGUUAAUCGGAAUUACUGGGCGUAAAGCGCGCGUAGGUGGUUCAGUAAGUUGGAUGUGAAAGCCCUGGGCUCAACCCAGGAAGUGCACUUGAAACUGCCUUGCUUGAGUACGGGAGAGGAAAGCGGAAUUCCUGGUGUAGAGGUGAAAUUCGUAGAUAUCAGGAGGAACACCGGUGGCGAAGGCGGCUUUCUGGCCCAAUACUGACGCUGAGACGCGAAAGCGUGGGGAGCAAACAGGAUUAGAUACCCUGGUAGUCCACGCUGUAA